rnacentral:misc_RNA from 1 species
UACAGAGGCCCCAAGCGUUACCCGGAAUCAUUGGGCGUAAAGGGUGUCAAGGCGGUCAUGUUAGUCUUCCGUAAAAUCCAGGAGCUCAUCUUCUGGCCCGCGGGGGAAACGGCAUGACUUGAGGUUGGGAGAGGUGCGUGGAACUCACGGUGUAGGGGUGAAAUCCGUUGAUAUCGUGGGGAACACCAAAGGCGAAGGCAGCGCACUGGCCCAAAUCUGACGCUCACACACGAAAGCCAGGGUAGCGAACGGG